GCCUUCCGUAGUGUAGUGGUUAUCACGUUUGCCUAACACGCGAAAGGUCCCCGGUUCAAAACCGGGCAGAAACA